rnacentral:rRNA from 1 species
UACGGGGGGAGCAAGCGUUGUUCGGAUUUACUGGGCGUAAAGGGCGCGUAGGCGGUCAGCACAAGUCAGUUGUGAAAUCUCCGGGCUUAACCCGGAAAGGUCAACUGAUACUGUGCGACUAGAGUGCGGAAGGGGCAACUGGAAUUCUCGGUGUAGCGGUGAAAUGCGUAGAUAUCGAGAGGAACACCUGCGGCGAAGGCGGGUUGCUGGGCCGACACUGACGCUGAUGCGCGAAAGCCAGGGGAGCGAAUGGG